ACCUCGCGUCUACGCCUGGUUCUUGUCGUCGUCUUUGGAGGGAGAAGCAACGGGGAACGUACUGCCACUGGAUCCCAUCACCCUUGGAAGAUCUUCUCGUCCUGUGGGCCUUCGGAUCUUCAAGAUUUUUCUGGGAAUCUCCACCUUGGACACUUCGAGGGACAGACGAGGGACGAGGAACGACUACAUGAUUGAUGCCACCGUUUCGUUAACGAAGUCAUCAGAGGGAGCUUUGCUGGCCUUCAGUCUGACCGACCUGGGACUCCUUCCUGACAUCAAACAGAGCUGGUAAGGAGGGACACCAGAUCAGGCCUGUAAACACAGAUUGGUGCCCUGAAGUCCUGAGGCUUUGGGGAAUUUAAUAGGGUUUACAUUUCCUCAGAGCCUCCCCAAAGCAUUUUUACACUUGUGUUUCAUCUGUGUUGGCCAACACCCCUUUCCACGGGCAGAGAAAUGGUGCAGCGGAUAAAACUCUGCCUAGGUACUCCCUGUGCCUGGAGCCACGUCUAGGGGUUCCCCAUGUCCACCACAGGAAGGGCCACCUGCCCGGGAUUCAACUGCCUUCCUCCAGCGUCAGGCCCAGUUCAUUUGGGGGCCACUCUUUUCUAGGUCCUGCUCCUUCCCAAUAACUUUGCAGGUUCUUGAACCUACCAUUUAGAGAAAGGGCCUUGUGUUGUAUGCUCUUGGAAUGUUGGU
rnacentral:lncRNA from 1 species